AGAGUUUGAUCAUGGCUCAGGACGAACGCUGGCGGCGUGCUAAUACAUGCAAGUCGAGCGGAACACUUCGGUGUUCAGCGGCGGACGGGUGAGUAACACGUGGGCAAUCUGCCUGUCAGACCGGAAUAACGCCUGGAAACGGGUGCUAAUGCCGGAUAGUUAGCCUUGGGGCAUCCUAAGGCUAGGAAAGGUGCUACGGCAUCACUGACAGAGGAGCCCGCGGCGCAUUAGCUAGUUGGGGAGGUAACGGCUCACCAAGGCGACGAUGCGUAGCCGACCUGAGAGGGUGACCGGCCACACUGGGACUGAGACACGGCCCAGACUCCUACGGGAGGCAGCAGUAGGGAAUCUUCCGCAAUGGGCGCAAGCCUGACGGAGCAACGCCGCGUGAGCGAAGAAGGCCUUCGGGUUGUAAAGCUCAGUCAACUGGGAAGAGCGAGCAUGGGAGGGAAUGCCCGUGCUGAGACGGUACCAGAAGAGGAAGCCCCGGCUAACUACGUGCCAGCAGCCGCGGUAAUACGUAGGGGGCAAGCGUUGUCCGGAAUCACUGGGCGUAAAGCGUGCGUAGGUGGUUAUGUAAGUCUGAAGUGAAAGUCCAGGGCUCAACCUUGGGAUUGCUUUGGAAACUGCAUGACUUGAGUGCUGGAGAGGCAAGGGGAAUUCCACGUGUAGCGGUGAAAUGCGUAGAUAUGUGGAGGAAUACCAGUGGCGAAGGCGCCUUGCUGGACAGAUACUGACGCUGAGGCACGAAAGCGUGGGGAGCAAACAGGAUUAGAUACCCUCGUAGUCCACGCCGUAAACGAUGAGUGCUAGGUGUUGGGGGUUCACCCCCUCAGUGCCGAAGGAAACCCAAUAAGCACUCCGCCUGGGGAGUACGCUCGCAAGAGUGAAACUCAAAGGAAUUGACGG
rnacentral:rRNA from 1 species